CCCCUCUGUUGUUCAGCCCCUGACAGUGCACAUACCAUGCACACACACAUGCACACACAUGCACACGCACAUGCCGUAAAGCAGAGCUACACACCCCCUUCUAAUGAGAUCACCUUCACUACAGAGCAGUUGCAGCACACUGAAGCCCCCCUUGGCAUUUUCUGAAACUUUUUGAGCCGCCUAACUCAGGACCAAGACAUCCCAUCUGCACAUAGGUAGGAAUCAUUGGGUCUGUUUUAUGAAUUCAAUCUCAUAUGCUGGCUUUCUUCACAGAAAGACAAAUAUGUGACUUAAAGUACAUGAUGUUCCUUCUGGUCUUUGUGCACAUGGGCUCACAGGGAAGUGUGGAAUGAGCUUCCUAUUGAAGCACAUUUGUAUAUACUUCACACAGAAGUUUGUUGCUUAAAACAUCUUUAUGGAAUGAUUUGGAGUGCAUGAGCUUUAACUAAUAUUUUAUUGCUGCAUAAUAUAAUAUAACAUAUAUAUAGUAUCACUUUUACACUUUUUCCUCUUAAUCUAUGGCGCAAUUGGGUCUUAAUUUGUGUUAUCUUGUACGUCAUGCUAGAAAAUGUAUGCAUGAGAGUGCAUUAUUUUGUAGAAGAGGUGACAGGAGGAGGUUUUCCAGGAAGUUAAUUGGUUGACAGUUUAUGCUGAUGUAAUUUAGGCACAGCUCACUUGUUUCCCUCGUUGUGGAAUAUGAAUGAGUAGCUAGCACUAUUUUUGGAAAAAGCAGAUGCAAGUUAAUGUGAGUGGUCUCAAUAUCACACACAUGUUGAGCAGGGGUUAAAAAUACUUUAAAAAGAAGGUUGUUGUUCCCUUUUGCCUUGGCUACUAUUCAACACUUAGGAAACAGCCUGAGGUUGUGAGGCUCACACGAGUGCAUUCGCUCAGGACUACAUAUCCCAUAAAUCAUAGUUUCCAUUUAAUUAUCAGAGUCUUACCAGGUGUGUGCAGCGGGUCGCGACUCGCGAGCCUCAAAGCGCUGUCGGUACGCACGAGACAGGCAGAAAACAGGAACAGGACAGGACUCUCACCCUCAACACCACACAGCACCACCGCAGACAUGUCGGACUCCGAAACUGCCGCCGCCCCCGCCGAGGCGCCCGUCCCUGCUGCUUGUGCCAACAUCAAGGCUGACCUGGACAAAUGUGUGGCAGAGAAGGGAGCCGAGGGCUGCAAAGAUCUGCUUGAGGCCUUUGCUGCUUGUGUGAAGAGUGCGGCUGAGGGGACGUCAUGAGGAGUCGCCCUCCAUACUCAAAUGUCCACUUCACUGAGCCCUCCAAGUUCCCAGCAUUCCCUUCUGCACAACAGCACUGGACUGAAUGAUGACAACGAUGAUUAAGAUGAUGAUGGCGGGACAAACAUGGUGUUGAUUUGGGCUGAAUUUGGGAUGUGGUGGCAGUAACCACAGUUUCCUCCCCCUGUUGUUAUAGGUUUAUCUUGUGUCCCUCAGUCUUACCGUCAUUCCCCUUCUCCCUCUAACGCUGAUGAGCAGCACAUCGACUUGUAGACAAUUCCAGAGAGCUGAGCUGUAAUGUAAAUUGUCGACUCAAGAUGAAUACUUAUAAAUGGAAAUAAAAUAUCAAAUACUUGGUAUAAAAACAAAUUGAGUUUUAGUUUUUUUGGCCUCUAUUGUUUCACCAUUUGAAGGUUUGAUGUCUACUUUCUUGGAAGAUGGAUGUAUGAAGAAUGAAGAUGUAUGAACAAAUGAUGGUGUUGCCUUGUAUGUCUGAACCAUUUCAAUGUUUAAGUAUGAAUAUAUUUUAUUCCCACAAAUCAAAAGCAAACAAUUCUAAUUAUUUUGGCCUCGGGUUCACCCAAAGUCAUUACAAAAUAACUGGCUGGAAAUGUUUGUGCUCAUCCAAAGAUGGUAUCCAUGUCCCCAGGAUUAAAAUCCUCUUAAUGACACUUUAAGGAAACCUUUUCAAUCUUGUGUUCUCAAAUGUUUUUUUUCCCUUGGCCAAAUGUUCAAUGUGUUUCCCU
rnacentral:lncRNA from 1 species